GACGCCGGCUUGGCCCGCCGGAAGUGACGCGCGCUCGGGGACGGCGUGCUUCCGGCCCCGAGUCCCCGCUCGGCCGCCGGGGCGUGGGGGGGCGCUCUGGCCCUCUAGCUCGGCUGCCCUGGAGGAUUCGUACGCGCUUGAUAAGGUACUGAUAAAAUCAUGACCAGGUGGGCACGAGUUACCACCACGCGUACCAAGAGACCUUUGGCUGCAACAUCAUGGGAAGACAUGAAGAAGGGGUCCUGUGAGGGAGAAAGCCAAAACCUACCAAAGAGUAAACAACUUGAAGCCAAUAGGCUUUCUGUGAAAAAUGAUGCUCCCAAAGCAAAACACAAAAAGAACAAAAAGAAAAAGGAGUAUUUAAAUGAAGAUGUAAAUGGAUUCAUGGAAUACCUAAGACAGAAUCCACAGAUGAUUCACAAUGGAGAGAUGAUAGCAACAGACAGUCAGGAGGUAAGGGAAGAAAUUGCAAUUGCCUUAAAGAAAGACAGUCGACGGGAAGGAAGAAGACUGAAAAGACAAGCAGCAAAGAAAAAUGCAAUGGUAUGUUUCCAUUGUAGAAAACCUGGCCAUGGGAUUGCAGAUUGCCCAGCUGCCCUUGAGAAUCAAGAUAUGGGCACUGGAAUAUGUUAUCGCUGUGGGUCCACAGAGCACGAAAUAACCAAAUGCAAAGCCAAAGUAGACCCAGCUCUUGGUGAAUUUCCUUUUGCAAAAUGUUUUGUUUGUGGGGAAAUGGGACAUCUGUCCAGAUCUUGUCCUGAUAAUCCCAAAGGACUCUAUGCUGAUGGUGGUUGCUGUAGACUUUGUGGCUCCGUGGAACACUUUAAGAAAGAUUGCCCUGAGAGUCAAAAUUCAGACACAAGUUUGCCCUUUCCAGUGCUGCUUAGACGCCAGCAAUGAUGCAAGAAGCAGAUUUCAUACUAGUAAAAGUCUUGAAGCAUCUUUUGUGUGGGAUAAAGAGAAAAAGAUCAUUUUAUUACAUGAAACCUAUGUUUCUGCAUCACUGAAUUAAGCAUAUGUGGAAACAUAACUGGAUCCAAAAAGGGUAAGGGAGAUCCUGAAGAGAUGCAGAAGCGACGACAAAGACAUGGGAAAAGCCAACCAUCCGGAAUGAAGCACUGACAAGAGCCAAAGUUGAAAAGAAGCAGUAAAGUAGCAUCUGAGUUUGCUUCAGCUUCAGGCAUUAUAAAUGAGAAAAGCACUGUUGAUGUGCCGGCCCCGGCCCUCAGACCACUCCUGACAGUCAAAGGCCUCCACGCGCACUCCCACUUCCACACUGUGGAGGACAACACAGGGCCGUGGGCGGAGAACCAGAGCACGCCAGGCCUCUCUGCCCGCCACCACCACCACUGUCACCACCGCCACCGUCACCACCGCUACCACUGUCACCACCAGCACCACCACCACCACCACCACCACCACCACUCUUCCAAGUGAGAACAAGAAUGAGGGCCCUGGGCUCUCUCUUUAUCAUUGCAAGUCUAUGCAAUUGUUAAAAUCCGUUUCAUCAGGUCGAUGGAUCUGACCUACUAGCCCCUGGAAGCAUUUCCACUAUACUUUCCCAUCAUCAUGUGGGGGAAAGGCCAGCUAGGACUUUAUAUAUAUUCAUGAACAUAUUUUGGCAAUGAGGCGUGAGGGGAGUUAAUUGUGCUAAAGGCAAGUUUCCUCCCUUAAAAACAACAGUUCUAUAUUAAAAGCAUCAGAUAUUAAAAUUGGAUAGGAAACAUACUCUUUUUCACAUUUUAGAAGAACUAAUAUGAAAUUAAAUAUUUUCAUUGUGUAUCAUGAAUAAUAAAAAUAACUGGGAAGCGGUUUGGACUACAUGGUGAUAAAUAACAGGUCCAUUAUGAGUCAGUUGAAAAAAAAAAAUGAGUCAGUUGAGCAUGAAGUCACUGGGACUCUUGAAAAUGAAAGGAAGAGUUAGUAAUUAUGACAGGACCACACCAAAACCAUACCAGGCCCACUGGGAGUCCCCUUUAUUAAGAGACAAAAACCAGCCCAUCACAAUUUAUGAACUAUGAAGAGGCCCAAGCAAAAAGAGGGUUAAUAUGAGUGUCUACAGCUGUUGACGACUGAAUGAACUUCCAGAAAAAAAUGAGAAGGAACUUGGUUACUUUAUAGUAGUACCUACACUCAUCCCCAGAUUGAAAUAAAAAUAAAAAAUUAUUCAUGUGCAAGUUCAAAUUUGUUCGUAGCUGCCUAAGAGGAUUAGGUGGGCUUUACCAGGUUUGAAAUGUAUUGUUGACAAUGGCAUUGAAAACCAGCCGAUCUCCCACAGUGGAUGGUCCCCGGAACUUAAACAUGUCCACGGACUUCAGAAGAGGGUGCGCCCCACAGAGGCGGCUGAGGAAACAGGGAAGGGAGGAGAAAGUGCCCACACUCUUAAGUAUUUUCAUGAACUAUUGAUUUGUUUAACCAAUGCAAGAGACAAAUACUCAAUGUGCUCUCUAAAUCAUCAUAUCUUUUAAUUCUUUUAAGAGUGAAAUAAAUAACUAAAUAACGUG